UGCAUUUGGGGAGGAGAGAGGAAGGGGGAUGGGCAUGUCCUCAGUCUCUCCUGGGCCUUCCUGAAAGUGCUCCUAGCCUGUGCCCUGGGUGGGCACUGAAGUCACAGUGAAGUCACAGUGAAGUCAGACUCCUAUCAUAGUGAAGUGAAGUCUGACUUCGCUGACUUCCUGUGUUUGGGGGUUGGUGUGUGUUAGCGCUUUGGGUUGGCAGACAAGCUUCCUCCAGUUUUCAGGGUUACAGUUACACAGAGGACUAUGGAUGGAAAGUUGCCUCUCAAGAGAUACCAACUGGCCAGUUUCCAAAGUUUAGGGAAACCAAGGACAGUCUUCACAUUGUUUCUCCACUGAUAUUCACCAUGCAGGAAUAUAAAGAUGUUCUAGCUACAAAGAGAACACUGCCCUUGCCCAUCUUUUUAUUGUCUUGAAGAACUUUUGUGUCUUGAAGAAAUCAACUUAUUGUGGAAAGUUUCAACUUUGAUAUUUGGGAAAACAACGUAUCUGUCACCCCGUUUCAAUAAUGAUUAAUGUUUUUCUUUAGAAAAAUUCUUUUUAUGUUUAUUUGUUUUUGAGAGACAGAGAGGGGGGAGGGGCAGAGAGAGAGGGAGACACAGAAUCUGAAGCAGGCUUCAGGCUCUGAGCUGUCAGCACAGAAUCUGAUGUGAACCCUGAACCCAUGGACUGUGAGAUCAUGACCUGAGCCGAAGUUGGACACUUAACCCAUUGAGCCACCCAGGCGCCCCUGAUCAACAUUUUUUCAAUCUUGUUUCAUUUACAAUUUCUCACUUUUUUCCUCCCCAACAUAUUUAAAGAUUCUAGGGCAUCAUAUCAUUUUCUCCAUAUACAUUUUAGUUUGAAUCUGUAUCAGAUGAAAAAGCAUAACUGCCAGAGUCCAGCUCCAGCA
rnacentral:lncRNA from 1 species